GCGAAAACUUUACAAUGCGGGAAACCGUGAUAAGGGGACACCGAGUGCCAGCAUUAUAUGCUGGCUGUCCGGGUGUGUAAAAUACACCUGUUAGCAAGGGCCGGGCAAGACCGGUGCCAGCCGCCGCGGUAACACCGGCGGCCCGAGUGGUGAUCGUGAUUAUUGGGUCUAAAGGGUCCGUAGCCGGUUUGGUCAGUCCUCCGGGAAAUCUGACGGCUUAACCGUUAGGCUUUCGGAGGAUACUGCCAGGCUUGGAACCGGGAGAGGUAAGAGGUACUACAGGGGUAGGAGUGAAAUCUUGUAAUCCCUGUGGGACCACCUGUGGCGAAGGCGUCUUACCAGAACGGGUUCGACGGUGAGGGACGAAAGCUGGGGGCACGAACCGGAUUAGAUACCCGGGUAGUCCCAGCCGUAAACGAUGCUCGCUAGGUGUCAGGCAUGGCGCGACCGUGUCUGGUGCCGCAGGGAAGCCGUGAAGCGAGCCACCUGGGAAGUACGGCCGCAAGGCUGAAACU
rnacentral:rRNA from 1 species